UACGGGGGGGGUAAGCGUUGUUCGGAAUUACUGGGCGUAAAGGGCUCGUAGGCGGCCAACUAAGUCGGACGUGAAAUCCCUCAGCUUAACUGGGGAACUGCGUCCGAUACUGGAUGGCUUGGAUUUGGGAGAGGGAUGCGGAAUUCCAGGUGUAGCGGUGAAAUGCGUAGAUAUCUGGAGGAACACCGGUGGCGAAGGCGGGAUCCUGGGCCAGUACUGACGCUGAGGAGCGAAAGCGUGGGGAGCAAACAGG
rnacentral:rRNA from 1 species